rnacentral:rRNA from 1 species
CAUGAAGCUGGAUUCGCUAGUAAUCGCGCAUCAGCCACGGCGCGGUGAAUACGUUCCCGGGCCUUGUACACACCGCCCGUCAAGCCAUGGAAGCCGGGAGUGCCUGAAGUGCGUGAGUGCAAGCAGCGCCCUAAGGUAAAACCGGUGACUGGGGCUAAGUCGUAACAAGGUACC